CGCCCGGAUCCCCAGGGCAGCCCCCGCAUGAGCCCACAGUAUUUUCCUUAUAUGAUCAGGCCCCAGGGCCUGAGAGGAUUAUGAAAACGAGGCCGGCGAAGUGGGGCUCGGGGCCCGGGCG